rnacentral:rRNA from 1 species
UGCAGUCGAGGGGUAUAGUAGCAAUACUAGAGACCGGCGCACGGGUGCGUAACGCGUAUGCAACCUACCUUGAACAGGGGGAUAGCCCAGAGAAAUUUGGAUUAAUACCCCAUGGUAUAUUAGAAUGGCAUCAUUUUAUUAUUAAAGUCACAACGGUUCAAGAUGGGCAUGCGUCCCAUUAGCUAGAUGGUAAGGUAACGGCUUACCAUGGCUACGAUGGGUAGGGGUCCUGAGAGGGAGAUCCCCCACACUGGUACUGAGACACGGACCAGACUCCUACGGGAGGCAGCAGUGAGGAAUAUUGGUCAAUGGGCGCAAGCCUGAACCAGCCAUGCCGCGUGCAGGAUGAAGCAUCUAUGGUGUGUAAACUGCUUUUGUACGGGAAGAAACACCGGUUCGUGAACCGGCUUGACGGUACCGUAAGAAUAAGGAUCGGCUAACUCCGUGCCAGCAGCCGCGGUAAUACGGAGGAUCCAAGCGUUAUCCGGAAUCAUUGGGUUUAAAGGGUCCGUAGGCGGCCAGGUAAGUCAGUGGUGAAAGCCCAUCGCUCAACGGUGGAACGGCCAUUGAUACUGCCAGGCUUGAAUUUCUGGGAAGUAACUAGAAUAUGUAGUGUAGCGGUGAAAUGCUUAGAUAUUACAUGGAAUACCAAUUGCGAAGGCAGGUUACUACCAGUGGAUUGACGCUGAUGGACGAAAGCGUGGGUAGCGAACAGGAUUAGAUACCCUGGUAGUCCACGCCGUANACGAUGGAUACUAGCUGUUCGGGGCAACCUGAGUGGCUAAGCGAAAGUGAUAAGUAUCCCACCUGGGGAGUACGGGCGCAAGCCUGAAACUCAAAGGAAUUGACGGGGGCCCGCACAAGCGGUGGAGCAUGUGGUUUAUUUCGAUGAUACGCGAGGAACCUUUACCAGGCUUAAAUGU